UGUAAAUCUUUCUUGAAAACACAAUUUUAUCAAUUCCCACACUCCAACCUUUUUCUCUUUGAUGUCUCUCUCUCUUCCAUCUCUCUGAUUUCUCAAACCCAUCUUCCACCUUUCUCUGUUUUUACAAUGUCUUCUCUCUCUUGCUACAUCAUCUCUUUCUAUUUCUCUUCUUUCAUAUUGUUUCAAUCUUUCUAUUUCUCUUUUUCUCUCUUCUCUUUUUAUCCGACGACUGAGUCUUCUACCUCAACCUUCCCCCUUCGUUUUCUUCCUCACCUUUAUUCUGUAAUAACAUCAUCACCAUCCUCUUCUAACUCUUUUGUGGUUUGUUUUUCAGGUUAUAGACGGAUCGAGUUUUGCCGGUGAAUUUUGAAGCUAAAAAAUUAUAGGCUGGAUCCGGUUUUACCGUUCUUGACUAUAAUAAGAUGAAGCAAAAACUUUCAGAUCUGGAAUGAGACCGUGUAAAAUUGAAACGACUUCUAGCGGAUCUGAAAUUGAAACCACGGGAACAUCGGAUCUGAAAUUGAAAUCACUGAAUUUGAUAUCAAAACCACCAGAUUUGAAAUCAACUCUCAUCUUCUUCAUACUUACAAGGAUUAUGAAAUGGAACAAUGGAAGGAUGGUAUCCAAAUUCAAGAGGUAUCAAGAAGAUUAUGAAUUUGACAUCAAUAGUAUUUGUUAUAUUGUAAUCAAUUAUAGAUUAAUUCAAAAUGGAUAUUUGUUCUUUAUGUUAAUGCAACUUUUAUUAUUA